rnacentral:rRNA from 1 species
GUAAAGCUCUGUCAAGUGGAAAGAAUGCACGUUCUAUUAAUAGUGGAACGUGUUGACGGUACCGCUAAAGGAAGCACCGGCUAACUCCGUGCCAGCAGCCGCGGUAAUACGGGGGGUGCUAGCGUUAAUCGGAUUUAUUGGGCGUAAAGCGCGCGUAGGCGGCUUCAUAAGUCAGAUGUGAAAGCCCGGGGCUCAACCCUGGAAGUACAUUUGAAACUGUGGAGCUUGAGUAUGGGAGAGGGAAGUGGAAUUCCUGGUGUAGCGGUGAAAUGCGUAGAUAUCAGGAGGAACACCGGUGGCGAAGGCGACUUCCUGGACCAAUACUGACGCUGAGGCGCGAAGGUGUGGGGAGCAAACAGGAUUAGAUACCCUGGUAGUCCACACAGUAAACGUUGAUCACUAGGUGUAGCGGGUUUUUACCCCCGCUGUGCCGAAGCUAACGCAUUAAGUGAUCCGCCUGGGGAGUACGAUCGCAAGGUUAAAACUCAAAGGAAUUGACGGGGGCCCGCACAAGCGGUGGAGCAUGUGGUUUAAUUCGACGCAACGCGAAGAACCUUACCUGGAUUUGACAUCCCGGGAAGUCCUUUGAAAGAAGGAUGUGCCCUUCGGGGAACCCGGUGACAGGUGCUGCAUGGCUGUCGUCAGCUCGUGUCGUGAGAUGUUGGGUUAAGUCCCGCAACGAGCGCAACCCUUUUCUUUAUUUGCCAUCAUUUAGUUGGGAACUCUAAAGAGACUGCCCCGGUUAACGGGGAGGAAGGUGGGGAUGACGUCAAGUCCUCAUGGCCCUUAUGUCCAGGGCUACACACGUGCUACAAUGGGCUGUACAAAGGGUAGCAAACCCGCGAGGGCAAGCCAAUCCCAAAAAGCAGUUCUCAGUUCGGAUUGGAGUCUGCAACUCGACUCCAUGAAGCUGGAAUCGCUAGUAAUCGUGGAUCAGCACGCCACGGUGAAUACGUUCCCGGGCCUUGUACACACCGCCCGUCACACCAUGAGAGUUGGUUGUACCCGAAGUUGCUGGGCCAACCCAUUCAGGAGGCAGGUACCUAAGGUAUGGCUGAUGAUUGGGGUGAAGUCGUAACAAGGUAACC